UACGGGGGGGGCAAGCGUUGUUCGGAAUUACUGGGCGUAAAGGGCUCGUAGGCGGCCAACUAAGUCAGACGUGAAAUCCCUCGGCUUAACCGGGGAACUGCGUCUGAUACUGCCGUUCUUGAGGGAUGCAGAGGAGACUGGAAUUCCCGGUGUAGCGGUGAAAUGUGUAGAGAUCGGGAGGAACACCGGUGGCGAAGGCGGGUCUCUGGACAGUUCCUGACGCUGAGGCACGAAGGCCAGGGGAGCAAACGGG
rnacentral:rRNA from 1 species